UUGUUCAAGUCCCUCUAUCCCCA
rnacentral:tRNA from 1 species